UACGAAGGGAGCUAGCGUUGUUCGGAAUCACUGGGCGUAAAGCGCACGUAGGCGGACUUGUCAGUCAGGGGUGAAAUCCCGGGGCUCAACCUCGGAACUGCCUCUGAUACAGCAAGUCUUGAGUCCGGAAGAGGUGGGUGGAAUUCCUAGUGUAGAGGUGAAAUUCGUAGAUAUUAGGAAGAACACCAGUGGCGAAGGCGGCUCACUGGUCCGGUACUGACGCUGAGGUGCGAAAGCGUGGGGAGCAAACAGG
rnacentral:rRNA from 1 species